rnacentral:rRNA from 1 species
CGUGUAGGCGGUUGUUUAAGUCUGAUGUGAAAGCCCUGGGCUCAACCCAGGAAGUGCAUUGGAAACUGGGCAACUUGAGUACGGGAGAGGAAAGUGGAAUUCCGAGUGUAGGGGUGAAAUCCGUAGAUAUUCGGAGGAACACCAGUGGCGAAGGCGGCUUUCUGGACCGAUACUGACGCUGAGACGCGAAAGCGUGGGGAGCAAACAGGAUUAGAUACCCUGGUAGUCC